rnacentral:rRNA from 1 species
ACGGAGGUCUCAAGCGUUGUUCGGAUUCAUUGGGCGUAAAGGGUGCGUAGGUGGCGCCGUAAGUCGGGUGUGAAAUUUCGGAGCUUAACUCCGAAACUGCAUUCGAUACUGCGGUGCUUGAGGACUGGAGAGGAGAUCGGAAUUUACGGUGUAGCAGUGAAAUGCGUAGAUAUCGUAAGGAAGACCAGUGGCGAAGGCGGAUCUCUGGACAGUUACUGACACUGAGGCACGAAGGCCAGGGGAGCAAACGGGA